GGAAUCUUCCACAAUGGGCGCAAGCCUGAUGGAGCAACACCGCGUGAGUGAAGAAGGGGUUUCGGCUCGUAAAGCUCUGUUGUUAAAGAAGAACACGUAUGAGAGUAACUGUUCAUACGUUGACGGUAUUUUAACCAGAAAGUCACGGCUAACUACGUGCCAG
rnacentral:rRNA from 1 species